CCUACGGGAGACAGCAGUGAGGAAUAUUGGUCAAUGGUCGGGAGACUGAACCAGCCAAGCCGCGUGAGGGAUGAAGGUACAGAGUAUCGUAAACCUCUUUUGUCAGGGAACAAAGGCGGGGACGUGUCCCCGGAUGAGUGUACCUGAAGAAAAAGCAUCGGCUAACUCCGUGCCAGCAGCCGCGGUAAUACGGAGGAUGCGAGCGUUAUCCGGAUUUAUUGGGUUUAAAGGGUGCGCAGGUGGUCUGUUAAGUCAGCGGUAAAAGCCGGGGGCUCAACCCGGACCAGCCGUUGAAACUGGCAGUCUCGAGUUGGAGAGAGGUAUGCGGAAUGCGCGGUGUAGCGGUGAAAUGCAUAGAUAUCGCGAAGAACUCCGAUUGCGAAGGCAGCAUGCCGGCUCCACACUGACGCUGAGGCACGAAAGCGUGGGUAUCGAACAGGAUUAGAUACCCUUGUAGUC
rnacentral:rRNA from 1 species